rnacentral:rRNA from 1 species
UACGGAGGAGGCAAGCGUUAUCCGGAAUUAUUGGGCGUAAAGCGUCCGUAGGUGGCUCUUCAAGUCUGCUGUCAAAGAGUGGGGCUUAACCCUGCAAAGGCAGUGGAAACUGAAAGGCUAGAGAGCCGUAGGGGUAGAGGGAAUUCCUGGUGUAGCGGUGAAAUGCGCAGAUAUCAGGAGGAACACCGGUGGCGAAGGCGGUGCUCUGGGCCGAGACUGACGCUGAGGAGCGAAAGCGUGGGUAGCAAACAGG